UGGGGAAUUUUGGACAAUUGGGCGAAAGCCUGAUCCAGCAAUGCCGCGUGUGUGAAGAAGGCCUUCGGGUUGUAAAGCACUUUUGUCCGGAAAGAAAUCCUUGGCUCUAGUACAGUCGGGGGAUGACGGUACCGGAAGAAUAAGCACCGGCUAACUACGUGCCAGCAGCCGCGGUAAUACGUAGGGUGCAAGCGUUAAUCGGAAUUACUGGGCGUAAAGCGUGCGCAGGCGGUUUGCUAAGACCGAUGUGAAAUCCCCGGGCUCAACCUGGGAACUGCAUUGGUGACUGGCAGGCUAGAGUAUGGCAGAGGGGGGUAGAAUUCCACGUGUAGCAGUGAAAUGCGUAGAGAUGUGGAGGAAUACCGAUGGCGAAGGCAGCCCCCUGGGCCAAUACUGACGCUCAUGCACGAAAGCGUGGGGAGCAAACAGGAUUAGAUACCCUGGUAGUCCACGCCCUAAANGAUGUCAACUAGUUGUUGGGGAUUCAUUUCCUUAGUAACGUAGCUAACGCGUGAAGUUGACCGCCUGGGGAGUACGGUCGCAAGAUUAAAACUCAAAUGAAUUGACGGGGUCAUAGCUGUUUCCU
rnacentral:rRNA from 1 species